rnacentral:rRNA from 1 species
UACAGAGGGGGCAAGCGUUGUUCGGAAUUACUGGGCGUAAAGGGCGCGUAGGCGGCCUUCUAAGUCGAACGUGAAAUCCCCGGGCUCAACCCGGGAACUGCGUCCGAUACUGGAAGGCUUGAAUCCGGGAGAGGGAUGCGGAAUUCCAGGUGUAGCGGUGAAAUGCGUAGAUAUCUGGAGGAACACCGGUGGCGAAGGCGGCAUCCUGGACCGGCAUUGACGCUGAAUAGCGAAAGCCAGGGGAGCAAACGGG